GUGUGUGUGUGUGUGUUCCUCCAGAGUUCAGUCCUCAGUGACUCUGAUGAACUCCUGUACGGUCGCGCUGGCUUCCUGUUCGCUCUGCUGUACGUCAACAGAGAGAUGGGAGAGAACACGGUGGAGGAGAGCACCAUCACUCAGAACUGAUCUCCGUUUGGACACAACUGUCAUCCCUCCGUAGAUUCUACGCAGCCCGGAGGCAAUCUUUUUCACCGUCCCACCAGCGAGGCGGCGGCGGAAGGAGAGGAGACAGAAGCGUGGUGUUCCAGGAGGAGAAGUACCUGAAGGAGGCAUCAGACUGCUCGGAGGUGAUCUGGCAGAGAGGUUUCCUGAGGAAAGGAUACGGACUCUGCCACGGCACGGCAGGGAACGGAUUCAUCUUCCUGUCCCUGUACCGGAGGACGAAGGAGAGGAAGCACCUGUACAGGGCCUGCAAGUUUGCAGAGUGGUGUCUGGACUACGGGACUCACGGCUGCCGGAUCCCAGACAGACCCUACUCUCUGUUCGAGGGUAAAACUCUUUCAAACACCUCCGUUAAAAUGUGAUAAUAUCAUCUGUCGAUCCAUGCAGCAGCAGCAGCUCUGUGGUGAGAGCAGUCAGUCCGUCAGAAACACCAGCAGAGGAUACAUGAGAUCAAAACACUGAUAUUUGAUGAUUUAUUGACCUUAUUUUACUGAAAUAUGGGAAGAAAAUGUGUCUCAUAAUGCAAACUGAAUUCAAUUAGGAUUUAGGAUUUAAAAUCAAUAACCGUGAGGUAAUUGCACACUAAAUGUUAAUAAUAUCCUACUUUUAAAUGUUGUUCGCUGUAGUUAAAGGUCCCAUGUCAUGGCCAUUUCCACUGAUCAUAAUUCCA